GUUAUACUCCCUCCGUCCGAAAAAACUUGUCCAAUGCUUGUUCCUUAAAUGGAUGUAUCUAGCACUAAAUUCGUGCUAGAUACAUCAAUUUGAGGGACAAACUUUUCCGGACGGAGGGAGUAGUAA
rfam:Triticum aestivum genome assembly, contig: Triticum_aestivum_CS42_TGACv1_scaffold_050050_1BS